rnacentral:rRNA from 1 species
CAGUAGCCGCGGGAAUACGAAGGGGGCAAGCGUUGUUCGGAAUUACUGGGCGUAAAGGGUGCGUAGGCGGUUGUUCAAGUCAGAUGUGAAAGCCCUGGGCUUAACCCGGGAAUAGCAUUUGAAACUAGACGACUAGAAUUCGGAAGAGGUUGGUGGAAUUCCCAGUGUAGAGGUGAAAUUCGUAGAGAUUGGGAAGAACACCGGAGGCGAAGGCGGCCAACUGGUCCGAUAUUGACGCUGAGGCACGAAAGCGUGGGGAGCAAACAGGAUUAGAGACCCCAGUAGUCCCUGUCUCUUAUAC